GCCCUGGGCUUGGUGUUGGACGGCCGGUCGAGCGAUCGACCCCUCCUAAAGACAAUGACGGCGGCCUGCGGUUCCCCCCGGUACACUGAGCUUUUAUAAGGCACGUAUCGGACGAGGCACCCGGGACCCGGUCCCCUCCUUGCUACAAGGAAACUUCUAUGGUUGACCUCGGAUCAGGUAGGAAUACGCGCUGAACUUAA
rnacentral:misc_RNA from 1 species